rnacentral:piRNA from 1 species
UUUACGCCUUGGGUUUGUUUU